rnacentral:rRNA from 1 species
AUUGAACGCUGGCGGCAGGCCUAACACAUGCAAGUCGAGCGGAGCGGCGGUCGCGUGAGUAAUGCCUAGGAAUCUGCCUGGUAGUGGUGGAUAAGGUACGGCAACGGGCGCUAAUACCGAAUACUAGCCGAUGAGCCUAGGUCGGAUUAGGUAGUUGGUGGGGUAAAGGCCUACCAGGGCGACGAUCCGUAACUGGGCUGAGAGGAUGAUAAGUCACACUGGAACGUGGAACCGGCCCAGACUCUUACGGGGGGCGCCAGUGGGGAAUUUUGGAAAUGGAGCGAAAGCCUGAUCCAGCCAUGCCGCGUGUGGGAAGAAGGUCUUCGGAUGGUAAAGCACUUGAAUUUGGGAGGCGUUACCAACAGAAUAAGCACCGGCUAACUACGUGCCAGCAGCCGCGGUAAUAC